GGAUGCCUGGUUUAGUGGUAUAGCAUCUGUCUUGCAGGCAGGAGGUCCCAUGUUCAAUCCCUGGGGAAUGAUUCCU